rnacentral:rRNA from 1 species
CAGUCGCCGCGGUAAUACGAAGGGUGCAAGCGUUAAUCGGAAUUACUGGGCGUAAAGCGUGCGUAGGCGGUUUGUCAAGUCUGUUGUGAAAUCCCCGGGCUCAACCUGGGAAUGGCAAUGGAUACUGGCAAGCUAGAGUGUGUCAGAGGAUGGUGGAAUUCCCGGUGUAGCGGUGAAAUGCGUAGAGAUCGGGAGGAACAUCAGUGGCGAAGGCGGCCAUCUGGGACAACACUGACGCUGAGGCACGAAAGCGUGGGGAGCAAACAGGAUUAGAUACCCCGGUAGUCCCUGUCUCUUAUAC